rnacentral:rRNA from 1 species
UAAAAGGAAUUUGCCUUUGGUAGCGGCGAGUGUAGCGGGCAGAGCUCAAAUUUGAAAUCUGGCGCCUUUCGUGCGCCAGAUUUGUAUUCUAUAUAGGUGUUUUGCGUGCGGGACCUGUCUAUGUUCCCUUGGAACAGGGUAUCAAAGAGGGUGACAAUCCCGUACUUGACAUGACCCCCAUCGCUCUGUGUGCUCUUUCUAAGAGUCGUUGUGUUUGGGAAUGCAUCUCAAAAUGGGGGGUAAAUUCCAUCUAAAGCUAAAUAUUGGAGAGAGACCGAUAGCGAACAAACACCGAUGGGGAAUGAUGAAAAGCACUUUGGAAAGAGAGUUAAACAGUACGAAAUAAUUGUUGAAAGGGAAACGAUUGAAGUCCUCGAUGUUCAUUGGACCUUGCCGGUUUUCGGUGUAUGACCUUUGAACGGGUCAACCUCCAUUUUGUCCGGCGGAUAAAGGCAGGAAUAAAAAGGCUCCCUCGGGAGUGUUAUAUCUUUCUGUCUGCUACAAUGCAGGAUACUGAGGACUGCAACUCGCCUUUUGGCCGGGGUUCUGGCACGUUGAUCCUUACGAUGUUGACAUAAUGCACUUUAACAGACCCGUCUUGAACCACGGACCA